UUCUUCUCGCUUUGGUGAUGAGAAGUAGGCCCUGCCCGGUGUCCCGUAAUUAAUCAGGAUAAACGGCUGCGGUAACUCUGACCGUACGAAGGUAGCGCGAUAAAUAGCCUUUUAAUUGGAGGCCUGUAUGAAUGGGUUAACGUGAGGAAGACUGUGUCGGGUGAAACUACCGAAAUUAAUUUUAAGGUGAAAAAGCCUUGAUUAGAAAGAAAGACGACAAGACCCUAGGAGCUUUUGCUAGAGUCAGGAUGGAUUACGGGUUUUGGGACAGUGGAAUCCGUGGCUUCUCUAGGGGGGAGGCUUCUCUAGUUAAGUCCGAGAGUAAGAAUGAAUCGAGUAUGAUGCUUCUCUAGGGGACCUUGUUUCUAGUUAAGAGUAGGGUGACCGUGGGGCUGCUGAAGCAGAAACGUGGCCCAUUGAUUAGUCUUGCACUCGGUUUUCGUUGGGGCAACGAGUUCGAGACGUCCGGACUAAAGUGUUAUGCCGACAGGCGUAAGAUCCUCUUUUGAGCGGAGGUGGACAAGUUACCCUAGGGAUAACAGCGUAAUCUCUCUCGAGAGCAUUUAUUGAAAGGGGGGUUUACGACCUCGAUGUUGGAUUAGGAUGUCCUUGUUGGCCCACCGGCUGCAGAGGGUUGGUCUGUUCGCCCAUUAAAAUCCUACA
rnacentral:rRNA from 1 species